rnacentral:rRNA from 1 species
UUUAAUGGGGGAAACCUGAUGGUCAACGCCGCGUGGAGGAUGAAGGUCUUCGGAUUGUAAACUCCUGUCAUGCGAGAACAAGAAAGUGAUAGUAUCGCAAGAGGAAGAGACGGCUAACUCUGUGCCAGCAGCCGCGGUAAUACAGAGGUCUCAAGCGUUGUUCGGAUUCAUUGGGCGUAAAGGGUGCGUAGGCGGCGUGGUAAGUUGAGUGUGAAAUCCUAGGGCUUAACCUUAGAACUGCACUCAAUACUGCCAUGCUAGAGGAAUGUAGAGGAGAGUGGAAUUCACGGUGUAGCAGUGAAAUGCGUAGAUAUCGUGAGGAAGACCAGUUGCGAAGGCGACUCUCUGGGCAUUUCCUGACGCUGAGGCACGAAGGCCAGGGGAGCAAACGGGAUUAGAUACCCCGGUAGUCCUGGCAGUAAACGGUGCACGUUUGGUGUGGGCGGGUUCAGACCCCGUCCGUGCCGGAGCUAACGCGUUAAACGUGCCGCCUGGGAAGUACGGUCGCAAGAUUAAAACUCAAAGAAAUUGACGGGGGCCCGCACAAGCGGUGGAGUAUGUGGCUUAAUUCGAUGCAACGCGAAGAACCUUACCUGGUCUUGACAUGCAUCUCUAAGUUAGUGAAAGCUAGCGAGUUUGUAGCAAUACA